UACGUAGGGUGCAAGCGUUGUCCGGAAUUAUUGGGCGUAAAGAGCUCGUAGGCGGUCUGUCGCGUCGGAUGUGAAAACCCAGGGCUCAACCCUGGGCCUGCAUUCGAUACGGGCAGACUAGAGUUCGGUAGGGGAGACUGGAAUUCCUGGUGUAGCGGUGAAAUGCGCAGAUAUCGUGAGGAAGACCAGUGGCGAAGGCGGAUCUCUGGACAGUUCCUGACGCUGAGGCACGAAGGCCAGGGGAGCAAACGGG
rnacentral:rRNA from 1 species